rnacentral:rRNA from 1 species
ACGUAGGGUGCAAGCGUUAAUCGGAAUUACUGGGCGUAAAGCGUGCGCAGGCGGUUUCGUAAGUCUGUCGUGAAAUCCCCGGGCUUAACCUGGGAAUGGCGAUGGAGACUGUGAGGCUAGAGUUUGGCAGAGGUCGGUGGAAUUCCCGGUGGAGUGGUGAAAUGCGUAGAUAUCGGGAGGAACACCAGAGGCGAAGGCGGCCGGCUGGGCUGUCCCUGACACUGAGGUGCGAAAGCGUGGGGAGCGAACCGGA